CGUCGCAAGCUUACCCUGUGAAGGUCCUAUAGUAAGCAAAAUGGGUAUAUCCCAAAACGUCAGGUCGAGGUGUAGCUUAUGAGGUGGGAAGAAAUGGGCUACAUUUUCUACACCAGAAUAAUACGAACAGCACUAUGAAAAUUUAGAGCUCGAAGGUGGAUUUAGUAGUAAAAAACAAAUAGAGAGUCUUUUUGAAAUAGGCUCUGAGACGCGUACACACCGCCCGUCACUCUCCCCAUUUUACCUAUAUAAUCAGUUAAAUAAAAAAUAACCUAAAAAGCGGGGAGGCAAGUCGUAACAU
rnacentral:rRNA from 1 species